rnacentral:misc_RNA from 1 species
CGCAGCUACUUGACAUACUCAUUCAAGAAGUAAAAUUGACUUGCAAACAAUUAAAAUUCCAAACCCAAACAUUACAUGAAAAAAAGGAAAGCAGAAAUGGAGAAGUCAGUUACCAACAGUAGUAAUGAAAAUACAUUAUACAUCGUUUUGCCCACCCCUCUUCCAAUAAUAUUUUAAUUUCAUUUGUGAGUAAAGACAAAACCUAUGAACUCAACGCUCCGACCCUUGUGCCUGAAUAUCUAGGCAAGAGAAGGACCAGCAAAACUAUUUACAGAAAUUUCCUUUGCCAAAAGAGGCAUAUGCAAAUGAAAUUCAGAAUGCAAAUAAUGCGAGAACUCUCAGCUUGCUCUUUUCCAAUCUUACCCUUUUAACAACUAUAAAAUAAUAAUAAAAAAAAAUUAAAAAACCUGAACCAAAGAUGUGAAAACCACCAGCCAAGUCAAUAAAGUAUCAUUGUACCUUUAACUUCUCAAUGCCUGGAAUAAACAAAAAAAAAGUUGUACAGGCCCUGAGCUUGACAUCACCACUCAAACAGAAGAAAAAUCAGUGUUGUGCCCAGCUAUGGCAUCUUCAAUGCCUGUUUCAGUUGUGCAAAUGCUGAAGGAUGCAUUCUACCAAUGACUGAAUUAAAAGAUUCACCAUGAAAGGCAGCACAUGUCUGAAGGUUGUCUCUCACAGAGUUCUCUAAUGAUAACUGAUUGAUAGGGUCCAAAAUUUUGAUCUGUCUUUUUCGGAACUCUUUGCUAGGAACAAUGCCCUCACCGUGAGACAUGCUGGAGCCCAUGUUAUCACCACUGGACUCCUCCUCAGUUAAAUCAUCAUUUCCACCCAAAAUUACACUUGUACAUACACUGAGGAUCUGAUCCAGUUUAUCAAGCACUUGAGGCAGUCUUAGAGUCAAAAUUAUUGAAAGGGCAAAACCAAAUAUCUUUCUCUGGUUGGAAGACACAUUAUCUACCUUGUCAAGCCAUAUGUCAACCAAACAAAGAAGUAUAUUUUCUUCAACUGCAGCACCUGCUUGCUGGAGGAGCAAUUGAAGUGAUGGUUCCACUACCAAUUGGCCCAGGAAAUUGGUAUUCAUUACCAAAAUCCUAGCUAGGAUUGCAGCAGAAGAAGCUUUAACUGCUGUCUUGGAAGGAUCAAGAUCAUCUCCUCCACUCAAACAUAUUACAAUAAGUUUUUGUAAUGUGCUGCUGAUCAAUGGGGGCACUUCUAUUGGAAAACACUGUAUUAAUAUAUCAAUGACAGGAAGGGUUGAAAGCAGGCCUUUAUCAUUUACAUUUCCAACAAUCAAAUCAAGAAGUUUAGCUACACUGGAAGCAUGCAUAUUUAGAAACUCAGUUCCACCCAGAAUUAUGUAACUCUCAAUAAUAUUGACAGCAACCUGCAAGUGAUCAAAACUUCUUUCCAUGAUUUCCACCAGACAUGGGAAGUAUGUUAAUAGUUGAGGCACCAUUGUAGGAGCAUGUGACAGCAUGGCUUCCCACAACAGCAUGCUGUCUUCUAGAAGAUUGAGUUCAUCUGGGCUAUUUAUAUCAAUUCCCUUUUGCAGAAUAGGCAAUAGCACAUUGUAGCAACUGGGUGACUGAUAACCAAGUGCAACCACAAAGUUCCUCAGAGCAAUGAGAAGCUGAAUCUGUAGAAGACUCUCACCAGAAGAUUCCUCCCAAACCUUCUGAAAAAAUUCCACCAAUUUGUUUGCAAAUGGAAUGACCUUACUGACAUGUCCAAUAAGAACAGAGAUCAAAUUCAAAACCUGAACCUUAGAAUCAAACUCCUGAACCUCCUCAAUCAACUUAAAACAUGAAUCCCAGCAAACAGGAAGAAGAUCCCCAAAGUCUUUCUCUGAGAAGUUUGCAUCUUCAAUAUGUGAACACAAAGAUCGACAAGCUGCCAGCCUCACAGACAGGUCUCUAUCUUGUAGCAGUCUGAUCAAUCCACAGUAUACUGGCCUCUUUAUGUCAUCUUUAAUCUGCAAAGAAACAAAGAUAAUAAAUCAUUUAUAUCAAAUACCUUCCAAAUCAGGUUAUUUAACAGGGACAUUAUUAACAUAACUUUUUAAGACAGAAUGAACAAUUAUGAUACUACAACCACCAAAACGAUACUCAUGGACAAGUACUGACUAACAGGUAUGAAUACCUGGGUAAAGCCUGGGCUGCCAAAUGUAGCUCGGACAUUCGCCCUAGCAGACCAAGUAACAAUACUCGCUCACCAUAUACCCAGAUACUCGCCCACUAGAAGAUAAGGAUCCCACAAUCCUCACUAAGUUUACAGUCCUAGUACUCGUAGGACUCCCAAUCAUGUUGGACUCCUAGUCCUAUCCUAAUAUUAACUCCCAAUAUUAAAACCUAUAUAGAGGCCACCAGGUAUGAACGUCAACCUCUUAAUCCCAUUCUCAUUCUUAUUCAAGUCCAAUUCUCUAUGCUGACUUAAGCAUGGGAGUAGCGGUCAAGUAACCCACUCGGCAUCUCUUGUUGUUACCUUGCAAAUCCAAGAUCCGUCGACCAUACCCGCAAAAGAGGAGAAUAACAUCAAAUCAAUUGAGUGUUCAUAUAUGUAUUGAGAACAUGUUAUUUUCAGUAGCACACAAGCAUAUGUGAAAUAAUUUUACAUCAGUCAUUCAUUAGGAGAAGGGCCAUAUUAAUACAAAUUCUAUUGACUACCAUUACAUUAAUCAUCAUAAUGAGAAUAUAAAUCCACAAAAGAAAAAAAAAAGACAGGUGCAAUCACACUUUUCUGGCAAAAAUGACACAUGCUGUCUUUAGAAAUAGGGAAAUUUGUAAAUAGUUUAAGGUUUGUAUCAUGCAACAAAUACUGGUACCUCAGAAACCCAUUGUCCCAGGAUUAAUGCAACCUUCCGAUGGAUGAUACGCAUAUUUGGAUGAUCAUUUGAAAGUUCAAGGGAUAAAGCACCAUUAAACCAAUCUUUGAAGCUUAGAUAGUUUGAAAGUUCAUAGUAAACAUAUGCAGCAGCACCAUAAGCAGCAUCUUUAAGAAGCAAUCCAGGAGUGAUCUCAGUAACUGAUGAUGGGCAACCAUUCAUUGCUUCUUGAAGGAUGGAAACCACAACAGGGCCCAACAAUUGGCUAUAGUUUUCAAACAAUACAAUGUACAAAGCUUCAGCACAAGGCCUCAGUUUUUCAGUCCACUGAAUCACAUCUUGCUCAUGAUGGAAAGAUUCAGGGUACUGGUACCACUCUUCCAAAUCACUUGCUGUUAGAACAAAAUACCUUCUUAUUAAUACAUUGCAUAAGAGUAUUAAGCGUUCACUAGGAAGAAGGGAAGUCAGAACACCACGAACAGCACUUGAAAUAUUUUUUUUCAUCUGCUCUAGGGUAAUUGCAUUUUCAUCCAUCACCCGACCACUAAGAAUUGGCUUAUAUUCCUUACAUUCAAGUACACACUUUACCAUUACCAUACACUGAAUCAGGAACUGCUCAAAUGAUAAUAAAUCAGGCUCAGGAUCCACUAUCUUGUUUAAACAGAAAUCCAUGACAGGUGGAAGGACAGACUUAUCACCAAAUGAAUAAGGAUGUCUGCCCUGAAUUGUGACCAAAACCUUCAUCAAUUUUGUACAUGCCCUCUUUAUGAAGUCCCAAAAUUGAGGAUAUCCCUUCUGAAAAGAUGAAUAGUAUGGAAGCAAAGACUGAAUGGCAUUCAAGAGCACAGGAGAGACCUCCUUCACUGGUUGAACCUCCUGUAUGCAUUUGGCAUCACUUUGAAACCCUGAAACUAUCAACUGGCGUGUUAUCUUCAAACACAACAACCAUCUCUCACUUGUUAGAUAAAGUUCAUCAUGAUGCUGCUUCAAAGCAUUUGGAUUAAAGUUUUGAACAAGUGCUGAGAAACCAUGUAAUAUGGUCUGCACAUCACUCUGCCAAAGGCGCCAGCAGUAAUCAAAGAAGUGCGAUGAUAUCUCUGCAAAGUUCCUUUGGUCAGCAGUCAGACGUUUAGUGGACAAUUCCUUCAAGGUCCGGAAGAGAAUCAUGAAAAUCCUGUGAGAAGUAAGAACAUCUGCCGACUGAAGCUGGCGUGCUAAGACCGAAAAGAGCUCUGGCCAUUCUUUGGGAUAAUCGAAGCGAGCGAUUUUUGAAAUGAGCACAGCCAACAUUACAGCUAUCUUCUCAUUCUCUUCUCUCAAGUGUGACAAUAGUUUUUGCCUCAAGUGGUUUUUUUCCUCACUGCUUAUUCCCGAGGAAUCGCGCCUGUUCCUCCAAUACCGAUUGAUACUAUUUUUGAAAUACACCGAAGCCAACAAGCGAACGUCCACCUGAGAUGCUAAAUCCUUUGCAGUUAUCACUUCCAUUAGGCAAGAGCAGAAACCAGGUCUACUCUCCGACUGAGAGAGCGCAGCCUCGGCCGGUUUGCGAACGCUUUCGUCGCCGCUCAUUGAAUUAGCCAGCAACGAGUAUACUGCUUGCAAAUCAGAAGCUGAGAGAGCCAUCGCUGUGCUUAAUAGUUCCUCUCACUGUAACUCUAACUAUGAGAUACCAAUCAAAGAAUCGGAUCGAAGAAUCUCUCGCCUAAUGAAAAUGGUUAAGCCAACAGUGAGAGAGGUUUUUAAAUUAAUUUUUGCUUAUUAUAAUGAUGAUUGCGUUUUGGAGAGACUGAAAUUUAGAGCUCAGCUUUUAAAAAUCGACUUUUGCAGAU